rnacentral:rRNA from 1 species
UACGAAGGGGGCUAGCGUUGCUCGGAAUCACUGGGCGUAAAGGGUGCGUAGGCGGCCUGGCAAGUGGAAGGUGAAAUCCCUCGGCUUAACCGAGGAACUGCCUUCCAAACUGCUUGGCUUGAGUCCGGGAGAGGUGAGUGGAAUUCCCAGUGUAGCGGUGAAAUGCGUAGAUAUUGGGAGGAACACCAGUGGCGAAGGCGGCUCACUGGACCGGAACUGACGCUGAUGCGCGAAAGCGUGGGGAGCAAACGGG